rnacentral:lncRNA from 1 species
CCCAUGCCAUAAUUUUGUACAGGAAUAUAGAGUAGGUUAAUGAAAAAUAAUUUACAUUUAUUUUUCAUAGAAUUUUCUUUUUAUUCAUUAUAAAAAGAUCGAUAUUCUGACCAUCAUGACUGUAGAUAAAUAUUCAUACAGAAUUCCACUGAUGUCAAAAGGGAUGGCAAAAAAGAGUUUUCCUGUUGAAUAAAACCCAAAAUUAUUGCAAACUAUUUUGAAGCAAUAUCCCACAAAGAAAUAACGUAAUUGCCGUAGACUGGAAAAUCCCCUAAUUGACAGUAGAGCAAUUUGAUUGGGUAGAACGAAUUGACAUCACGUGAUUUUGACGCCAUUGAAAUUUAAAUGUAAACAAACAAGGUCAGAAGGUUCAGUAUGGGACAGCAUCGUACAUUUAGUUACUGAC